GAGUUUGAUCGUGGCUCAGGAUGAACGCUAGCGGCAGGCUUAAUACAUGCAAGUCGUGGGGCAGCAGGGGUAGCAAUACCCGCUGGCGACCGGCAAACGGGUGCGGAACACGUACGCAACCUUCCUUUAACUGGAGAAUAGCCCCUCGAAAGAGGGAUUAAUACUCCGUAACAUCCCGAUAUGGCAUCAUAACGGGAUUAUAGCUCCGGCGGUUAAAGAUGGGCGUGCGCCUGAUUAGAUAGUUGGCGGGGUAACGGCCCACCAAGUCUGCGAUCAGUAACUGGUGUGAGAGCACGACCAGUCACACGGGCACUGAGACACGGGCCCGACUCCUACGGGAGGCAGCAGUAAGGAUAUUGGUCAAUGGACGCAAGUCUGAACCAGCCAUGCCGCGUGGAGGAUUAAGGCCCUCUGGGUUGUAAACUCCUUUUAUCUGGGAAGAAAUCCAUGAAUUCUUUUGUGGUUGACGGUACCAGAGGAAUAAGCACCGGCUAACUCCGUGCCAGCCGCCGCUGUAAU
rnacentral:rRNA from 1 species